UGAUCCUGGACGCGGGCAAGGAGUUGAUUUAUCUGUGAGAGACGGAAACGUGACAGCUAAGUGCUAACAGGAUGCAGUGAUAAUGAACACAACCUAAUUACCUCAGACCACACUCCAGCUGUUCAACGUGAACUGGAUUUUGUUAAACUGUCAAUGACUCAUUGGGUCUGGCAGAAGCUCCGUAACGUCUCAAAAGCAACUUGAAACUGCAUCAACCACUGCCACAAUUCAUUGGCUUUAUCACUGCAACCAGAGACACAAAUGGUGUAAAUUCAGGACUAGUUUGGUGUCGUUGGUGGAAGGUGUUCCAGUAGGCAGCUGGUGUAGUUUAGCAGGUGUCUGAGCAGAAGAUGGCAGGCGUUGACAGUCAGAAUGUGACAGGAACUCACGAAAAAAAGCAAAAACCCACAAAGGUCACUCACCAUUUGUGACGAAUUUACUCUUGGCUGCGAACACCU